GUUUCACUUUGCCUGAGAGAAUCCCUCGGUCCCCUCCUCUUCUCCGAAAGCUCCAGCCUCUUUUAGCAUCCUUCUCGGCCUUAGGCUUCCUCCGGAUCGACUUCCAUCAUCCUUGCCAUCUUCCUGCACUCCCCGGACCAACCUAGGUUAGUUUCGGAACUUCUUGCCGUUUUUCUGUUCUUUCUUUUUCGUAUUCCGUUC
rnacentral:lncRNA from 1 species